rnacentral:rRNA from 1 species
CCUGGUUGAUCCUACCAGUAACAUAUGGUUGUCUCAAAGAUUGAGCCAUGCACGUGUAAGUACACACGGCCGGUACAGUGAAACUGCAAAUGGCUCAUCAAAUGGUUCCUUAGAUUGCUCCAUCUGUCACUUGGACAAAUGUGGUAAUUCUAGAUCUAAUACAUGCAAAGGAGUACUGACCUCCUGGUGUGCAUACAUUCAUCAGACCAAGACCAAUCCAGGUUCGACCGGCCGCUUUGGUGACUCUAAAUGAUCUCGGGGCGAUCGCACAUCCCUGUGACAGUGAAGGCACAUUCGGAUGCCUGUCCUAUCAACUUUUGAUGGUACAUUCUGUGACUACCAUGGUGUCAAUGGGUAUCAAGGACUCAGGUUUCCAUUCAGGAGAAGAAGCCUGAGAAACAGCUACCACAUCCAAGGAAGGCGGCAGGUGCAGAAAUCACCCGCUCCCAACUCAGGGAGGUAGUGACUUAAAAUAUCAGGGCUCUUUCGAGGCCAAGUAAUUGGAAUGAGUGCACUUCAAAUCCUUUAAUGAGGAUCCAUUGGAGGGGAAGUCUGGUGCCACCAACUGUGGUAAUUCCAGCUCCAAUAGUCUAUGUUAAAGUUGCUGCAUUUAAAAAGCUCACAGUUGGAUCUUGGGAUCAAGCUAGCAGACUGCUGCAAGGUGAGCUACCACCUCUACUAGCCCUUGUCUCUCAGCAUUUACUUUUAAAAUAAUUAGUGUUUUCAAAGCAGGUAGGUCACCUGAAUUCAUCAGCUAGGUAUAAUGGAAUAUGACUCUUGUUCUAUUUUGUUGGUUUUCGGAACUGGGGCAAUGAUUGAGAGGGACGGGCAGGGGCAUUCGUGUUUUGCUGCUCCAGUUGAAAUUCUUGGACCGGCUGAAGAUGAACCAAAGUGAAAGCAUUUCCUAAGAAUUCUUUCAUUACUCAUUAACAAAGGUCGUAGGUUCAAAGAUGACCAUAUACCGUUUUAGUUCUGACCAUAAAUAAUGCUGACCAGCAAUCUGGAAGCAUUUUUCCCAUGACCCUCCGAGCAGCUUCCAGGAAACCAAGGGCUCUGGGAUCCAGCGGGUGUAUGGUUUUAAAGAUGAACUUCAAGGAAUUGAUGGAAGGGCACCACCAGAAGUGGAGGCUGCCAGCUUAAUUCGACUCAACACAAAAAACCUCACCUGGCCUGGACACAGAAAGGAUUGACAAAUGGAUAGCUCAUUCUAGAUUCUGUGGGUGGUGACACAUGGCUGUUCUUAGUUGGUGGAACGAUUUGUCUGGUUAAUUCCGAUAAGAAACGAGACUCCUCCAUGCUAACUGGUUACACAACCCCCGGUGGUCAGCGUUCAACUUCUUAGAGGGACAAGUGGCGUUUAGCCAUACGAGAGUGAGUAAUAACAGGUCUGGAAUUCCCUUACAUGUCUGGGGCUGCACGUGUGCUACACUGAUCAGAUCAGCAUGUGUCAACCUGCGAGUAACCUGCUGAACCCCCUUCGUGAUCGGGAUUGGGGAUUGCAAUUUUUCCCAUGAACUAGGAAUUCCAAAAACGUGUGGAUCAUAAGCUUGCGCUGAUUAGCCCAUCUCUUUUGUACACUCUGCACAUUGCUACUAGCGAUUGGAUGGUUAGUGAGUUCCUUGGAUCGGGCCUACCAGGGUCCGCAGAAGCCCUGGCGGAGCACCAGGAACACUAUCAAACUUGACUAUCUUGAGAAAGUAAAAGUCGUACCAAGGUUCCCGUAGUUGAACAAGCGGAAG